rnacentral:misc_RNA from 1 species
UUUUAAAGAAGAAGAAAUAUCUCAGGACAAAUUUUUAUUAUUAAGUAAUUUAAAUGCAAAUCCACCAGCAACAUAAUAUCAAUUAAAUCUUUAAUUGGAUCUUUAACAAGCUUGCAGUAGCAAGUUACUAAAGUGUGUAUAUAGUGCUAAGCUACUCAAAAUAUCUAUAUGCAAUGCAACCUUCUAUUGUAUAUAGUAGUGGCAGCAGGCAAUCUGCUCACUGCGAAUCAUCAAAGCAGGGUUUCAGCCCUGUUACCAGACAUUUCAAUCUGCUUUGCGAUCAUUUCAUUGCUUAGUAGGAGGUAGGGUGUGAAUGAGAAAAGACUUCAUGUGCUUGCACAGCUCUUUAGGCUUCUCUACAUUAAGUGCAUGCCCCACAUUCUUCAUUAUAACUAAUUCUGCGUUUUCACCAAUAUGGCUUUUUAAUCUAUGUGCCAAUUCCAGAGGGAAGAGCUGGUCAUAUUCUCCCCAGACUAGUAGCGUAGGCUGGGUUAUCUUUGGAAGAUUAGACAGUUUUCUAUCCUUGCCCAAUGCCUGAAUCAGUUCUUUCUUCUCUUGACGAUAUUCUGUGCACAUCACCUCAAUAUAAUCAUUUAGAACGCAAGUAGGAAGGGUCUGUGGAGGUUUGUGAAACGUCAAUCGCAUCAACUCUCUAGCUUUCUCGGGAGUCUGAGGCAACAAAAUACUAACGGCCUCAUCCACACUGCUCAUCUGAGACAACCCUUCCUCCAUGUCCUUCUCUUCUAAGCUCACUCCAGCGCACCCCAGCACCACUCGCCCCACCCGCUCCUUAAACUGAGCCGCCAUGCUGUACGCCACGAAACCACCAUAACUCAGCCCCAUGACAUCCAUCUUGGCAACAUUAAGCGCAUCCAUAACAGCCAUGACACACUGGGCCUGAAAUUCCUCGGUCCUUUCGGGUCGGGUCGUGUAGGAAUCGCCGAAGAAAAGGAGGUCCGGGACGUAGAUAUUGAAUUUGGACUUCAAGAGAGGGAUGAAGUAGUUGAAUUGCCACAUUGCAUUGGCACCAAAGCCGUGGAUCAAGAGCAGCGUAGGCUUGGAUUGGACAUGAGUUUUGGGGACCCAGCAGUGCAUGUGGGUGCCAUCACCGAGAUCGGUGGUGAAGGAUUUGAGGCCCGCUUUAGUGAAGGAGCAGCGAUAGCAGGAAUUUCCCAAGGCACUGAAGCUCAAACACUUGGCCAUUCU